rnacentral:rRNA from 1 species
UACAGAGGUCUCAAGCGUUGUUCGGAUUCAUUGGGCGUAAAGGGUGCGUAGGCGGGCGCGGUAAGUCGGGUGUGAAAUCAUCGGGGCUUACUCCGAACUGCAUUCGAUACUGCCGGUGCUUGAGGACUGGAGAGGAGACGUGGAAUUUGACGGUGAGCGGUGAAAUGCGUAGAUAUCGUAAGGGAAGACCAGUGGCGAAGGCGGGUCUC